UAAGAUUUGAUUUGUUUUAUUCAACAAAGUUGUUAAGCCUUUACAAUGAGGUCAUACAGUAUUUCUGCCCAAAUCCACAUAAAGAUACAGAAAAUGACAUAAAGAGUGGAAAACAGCACACAGAGUAAAUAGAAAUAGAUGUUAAAAAUGUAGAAAGAGAUUGAAGAUUACAUGUCCAGAGGUUAAAAUUACAAUUACAUUACAGCAUUGCCAUAAAAUAAUUGCUUUGUUCCGAAAAAUGUGUGUUGGGUGAUCCUCAGAAAAAGUCCAUCUGGAGAACUGGGAAAGGCAUCUCAGUGUUUGGAGAAUAGUCGAUCGGUAAGCGGUUGAAAUAUGCGCCAUCAGCAUGUCCGAAGUGUCUCGAGUCCGCAGAGUGUCGUUGGCUCGGUGUUUCUUCAAUAUCGGAGCUGUAGCAUUGUCGGUCGAAGUCUGGUAGCGAAGUCGUUGUUCCUCAAAUGAAUCUGCGUAUAAUGCGCUCCAGCAGGAACUGCCAAACAAGUUGUAACAUCUGCUGCCAGCAGGUUGCAUUCUGCGCUGUCGUAGUCGGCGAGCCUGAGCUCCGCCCAAAAUCAGGCUUCCACAGCGUUACGCAGCCGCAUAUGUUAAUGAUGUUCACGGAUGUAGUUUCUUCAGGCAUCGGAGCAAACGGCUGAAACACCACAGAAGAUGAAAUGAAUGAUCGUCCAAGGCAAAAUGUGCUUGAACUGGGACAAAGAAUCAUCCCGUGGAGAAGACCCACAAAGAUGUGCAGCCGGGUCGGUGCUUUCCUUUCCGCCGGAAAGGUUGGAGUGGUGGCUAUCUCCCUCUGCCUUCAAAAAAAGUUUCACUCAGUAGCUAUCUUUUAUGGAGAGAGAGAGAGAAAAAGAACUUAACUAUAUUAGAAACUCACACAUAUUUUUUACGUUUGUUAAAAUUUGCAGAAAGGUUUUUUUGCGAGCGACCCAAUUAAAGCAACAAUCAUAAUGACAGACUCACUAUUUAAAUAAGAUUUGAUUUGUUUUUAUUCAACAAAGUUGUUAAGCCUUUACAAUGAGGUCAUACAGUAUUUCUGCCCAAAUCCACAUAAAGAUACAGAAAAUGACAUAAAGAGUGGAAAACAGCACACAGAGUAAAUAGAAAUAGAUGUUAAAAAUGUAGAAAGAGAUUGAAGAUUACAUGUCCAGAGGUUAAAAAUUACAAUUACAUUACAGCAUUGCCAUAAAAUAAUUGCUUUGUUCCGAAAAAAAUGUGUGUUGGGUGAUCCUCAGAAAAAAAGUCCAUCUGGAGAACUGGGAAAGGCAUCUCAGUGUUUGGAGAAUAGUCGAUCGGUAAGCGGUUGAAAUAUGCGCCAUCAGCAUGUCCGAAGUGUCUCGAGUCCGCAGAGUGUCGUUGGCUCGGUGUUUCUUCAAUAUCGGAGCUGUAGCAUUGUCGGUCGAAGUCUGGUAGCGAAGUCGUUGUUCCUCAAAUGAAUCUGCGUAUAAUGCGCUCCAGCAGGAACUGCCAAACAAGUUGUAACAUCUGCUGCCAGCAGGUUGCAUUCUGCGCUGUCGUAGUCGGCGAGCCUGAGCUCCGCCCAAAAUCAGGCUUCCACAGCGUUACGCAGCCGCAUAUGUUAAUGAUGUUCACGGAUGUAGUUUCUUCAGGCAUCGGAGCAAACGGCUGAAACACCACAGAAGAUGAAAUGAAUGAUCGUCCAAGGCAAAAUGUGUGAGCUCUGCAAGCUUUCCAUUCAAUUUAUAGGCUAUGACAGGUUACACAUUCCCAUGAAAUUGUCUUUCAGUUAGACACUGCUGCGCUCAUGGGUAGCCAAACACACCUAAUGUAGGAUGAAACAGCGCGGUAUUAAAGUGUUCGCGCAGCGCUGAACGGUCAUAGGUGCGGCUCAAGGAACCGAGCUGCGCGACCGACUCCACGGCGCGGAGAGGACGUGUUUAACAGCGCCACCGAACUGACAGCGCCGCGCGAACAUACUCUUCUUCUAAUAACGUUUUUAUGGCGGAUGGCAAACCAACUUUUUAUAUAUAUAUUUUACCUUGUUCUACAUGCUCUUUCAAAAGGCUUGACUAAUUAAAUGAUUUAACACCCAUGUUUCUUACUUCCCAUGUUUAUUUUUAUAUGUAUAAAUACUAUAUAUUUGGGAUUUUGGUUGUCUCUAGUAAAGGGAACAUUGAGCCAAUGAGCCGCGCCUAUGAUAUGACCGGUCAGCGCUGCGCGAACACUCUAAUACCGCGCUGUUUCGUCCCACAUUUGUCGCAGUUGUAACGUACACUGAAGGCUAAGUAGCUACAGAAAACCAUAAGGCUAAUUCAAAGUACCACACAACUGUCAAAGACACCCAUACACAAUAAGGAUAACAGAGCGGGUAAGUUGUCACAUGGUUAAGUUGUCACACUGUUCAUAACUCCAAAACUUGAGGCUCUAUCUCAAACAUCAAAUAGCCACUUUGUGUGACUUCUUCUUCAAUAGUCAAUUUCCUGUUCAAAUGUGGUCAAGAUCGCUCUAAUGUGAGUUUAGCACAAUUUCCUUAUUUUUUUGGCUUAAAAAGUAAAAAAAAAAAAAAACUUCAAAUUGUAUGCAAUACAACUUUGUUAGGUAUGAAUGUUAAAAAUUAUUAUUUUGCACAAAAUAGAGUAGACAAUAACGUG
ensembl:lncRNA